rnacentral:tRNA from 1 species
GGAGAGAUGGCAGAGUGGCUGAAUGCACCAGUCUUGAAAACUGGCAUGGGACUAAGUGCCUAUCGUAGGUUCGAAUCCUACUCUCUUCGCCA